rnacentral:rRNA from 1 species
UACGUAGGGGGCAAGCGUUGUCCGGAAUCAUUGGGCGUAAAGAGCGUGUAGGCGGUUCGGUAAGUCGGCUGUGAAAGUCCAGGGCUCAACCCUGGGAUGCCGGUCGAUACUGCCGGACUAGAGUUCGGAAGAGGCGAGUGGAAUUCCCGGUGUAGCGGUGAAAUGCGCAGAUAUCGGGAGGAACACCUAUGGCGAAGGCAGCUCGGUGGGACGUUACUGACGCUGAGACGCGAAAGCGUGGGGAGCAAACAGG